GCUCUUGGAGGGUUGGCUUGAUGUCACAAUAUUACACUGGUUUGCCAUGCAUUUCUUUGAGUCGCCCAAUUCUAGGUGUGCUUUUUUCAAUCCACAAAAAAUCACUGGAUCACGGUGUAAAACACUUCUUGAAGACGUUAAAAAAACGUAAAAGAAAUACGUGAGCUUUAUUCUAAAAAAGUGUUCUAUCUUGCACCAUACUUAGCCGGUAAACAUUGGUCGCUUAUAAUUGUUUGCCCGGGCUUCAAAUUCGGCUAUAUUAUAGAUUCUAUAAAUCAAGGGAACACCCAUAAAAAUUACAAGCUCGUCAAGAUCAUUGAAGAAGUUUUUGAGAUUAAUUUUAAGUGGCACAUGGCACAGUGCAAACAACAGAAAGGCAGUUGGGAAUGUGGGUAUAUGGUAAUCAAAUAUAUGAAAGAGUUUAUUGACUCUAUACAGCAUGAUUUGGUUAACCGACUUUGGAAUGAAGAAGGGUAUUUUGAAGAAUCUCAAAUUGAGAAUUUAGUGGUAGAGUUAAUGUUGGAAUUUAUUUAAAAGAUGUUUUGAUCUUGUAAGCAUUAGUUUGUGUUUCAUACUUUUGUAAUUCCGUAUACUUAAACAGGUUGUUGGGUUGUUUAAUACUAGUUAAUUUUUGUCGUGAGCAUGUGCAUUUGUGUGUAAUUGGAAUUAUAUUGGGAAAUAUUACUAAAAAUUCUGGAA